rnacentral:lncRNA from 1 species
CCUCAAUCUCUUCCACCUCAUCAUCGGAGGCCGCCCGGGUUUCCUCCUCCUGUGCUGCGUCACCCCCGGUGGUGAUCCCAGGUAUUACUGGUCCUCGGACCAGACCUGGGGAGCCCGCAGCCGAAGAGGCUCCUGCUCGGGGAGGCGUGGGGACUUCACUCCCCCCGGCAGGAGGAGCGGUCGGAGAUCUUCCCUCCUCUGAGGAGCCAGUUGGGGGAGCCUCUCCAGCCCUGGUCGGGCUGCCUGUCGUAGUCGG